rnacentral:rRNA from 1 species
AGAGUUUGAUUAUGGCUCAGAACGAACGCUGGCGGCAUGGAUUAGGCAUGCAAGUCGAACGAAGUAGCAAUACUUAGUGGCGCAAGGGUGAGGAACGCGUGAGUGACCUACCCGCAAGUUUGGAACAGCUCCUGGAAACGGGAAUUAAUACCGGGAUGUGAUCAACGGGCUGCAUGGUUUGUUGAUUAAAGCAGUAAUGCGCUUGCGGAGUGGGCUCGCGUCCCAUUAGCUAGUUGGUGAGGUAACGGCCCACCAAGGCCAUGAUGGGUAGCUGGUCUGAGAGGACGACCAGCCACACUGGGACUGAGAACUGCCCAGACUCCUACGGGAGGCUGCAGUCGAGAAUUUUGGGCAAUGGACGAAAGUCUGAACCCCAGCAAUGCCGCGUGCGGGAUGAAGGUCUUCGGAUUGUAAACCGCUGUUUGGAGGGACGAAAAUUGACGGUACUUCCAGAGAAAGCCACGGCUAACUACGUGCCAGCCGCUGC